CGAUGCCAACUAUGCGUUGGGAGUCUUGAACUCUUGUGGCGCAGCUAACGCAUUAAGUUGACCGCCUGGAUAGUACGACGCAUCCCCAAAACUCCUCUGAAUUGACGGGGGCCCGUCCUUCGGUGCACCCUGUGGUUUAAUUCGAACCAACGCGAAGAACCUUACCUCGCCUUGACAUUUAAUGAACUUUCUCAAGAUGGAUGGUGGCCUUCGGGAACAUUGAGACAGGUGCUGCAUGGCUGUCGUCCCCUCCUGCCCUGAAAAGUUGAUUGAAUGCCCGGAACGGGUGCAGCCCUUGUCCUUAGUUCCCAUUACGCCACGGGGGCCACCCCAUGGGCACUGCCGCGGACAUACCGUUGAAAGGUGGGGAUGACGUCGUACUCUCCUGGCCCUUACCUUCUGGCGUUAACUGCUGCUACAAUGGUUCAAGACUACGGUUGCCUAGCCGAGAGGUGUUACUAAUCGCACUACACCGAUAUCAAACCGUGUCUGCUCCUGCAACUCUACUGCGUGAA
rnacentral:rRNA from 1 species